rnacentral:rRNA from 1 species
UACGGAGGGUGCAAGCGUUAUCCGGAUUCACUGGGUUUAAAGGGUGCGUAGGUGGGUUGAUAAGUCAGUGGUGAAAUCCCCGAGCUUAACUUGGGAACUGCCAUUGAUACUAUUGAUCUUGAAUACCGUGGAGGUCAGCGGAAUAUGUCAUGUAGCGGUGAAAUGCUUAGAUAUGACAUAGAACACCAAUUGCGAAGGCAGCUGGCUACACAAUUAUUGACACUGAGGCGCGAAAGCGUGGGGAUCAAACAGG